UCCUCCACCUUGCCGUCCCCAGCAUGCUCAUGCUGUGCAUGGAGUGGUGGGCCUAUGAGGUCGGGAGCUUCCUCAGUGGUCUGUAUGAGGACGGAUGAUGGGGACUGGUGGGAACCAGGGGGCCCUGUCUAGGUGCAAGGUGACAGCUGUCUCUCUUCACCAGGCAUCCUUGGCAUGGUGGAGCUGGGCGCUCAGUCCAUCGUGUAUGAACUGGCCAUCAUUGUGUACAUGGUUUCCUUUUUAUUUUAGGUCCCUGCAGGCUUCAGUGUGGCUGCCAGUGUCCGGGUAGGAAACGCUCUGGGUGCUGGAGACAUGGAGCAGGCACGGAAGUCCUCUACCGUUUCCCUGCUGAUUACAGUGCUCUUUGCUGUAGCCUUCAGUGUCCUGCUGUUAAGCUGUAAGGAUCACGUGGGGUACAUUUUUACUACCGACCGAGAUAUCAUUAAUCUGGUGGCUCAGGUGGUUCCAAUUUAUGCUGUUUCCCACCUCUUUGAAGCUCUUGCUUGCACGAGCGGUGGCGUUCUGAGGGGGAGUGGAAAUCAGAAGGUUGGAGCCAUUGUGAAUACCAUUGGGUACUAUGUGGUUGGCCUCCCCAUCGGGAUCGCGCUGAUGUUUGCAACCAAACUUGGAGUGAUGGGUCUGUGGUCAGGGAUCAUCAUCUGUACAGUCUUUCAAGCUGUGUGUUUUCUAGGCUUUAUUAUUCAGCUAAAUUGGAAAAAAGCCUGUCAGCAGGCUCAGGUACACGCCAAUUUGAAAGUAAACAACGUGCCUCGGAGUGGGAAUUCUGCUCUCCCUCAGGAUCUGCUUCACCCAGGGUGCCCUGAAAACCUUGAAGGAAUUUUAACGAACGAUGUUGGAAAGACAGGCGAGACUCAGUCGGAUCAGCAGAUGCGCCAAGAAGAACCUUUGCCGGAACAUCCACAGGACAGCGCUAAGUUGUCCAGGAAACAGCUGGUGCUGCGGCGAGGGCUUCUGCUCCUGGGGGUCUUCUUAAUCUUGCUGGUGGGGAUUUUAGUGAGAUUCUAUGUCAGAAUUCAGUGACGUGGCAGGAAAGAAAGUCAGGUCAAGUGAUGCUUUUGAGCUUACACACAAUUCACAGGCCCACCAGUGACAAUUUACUUUGAGUUAAUGUCAUUCAGAUGUGCCCAUGGAUUUUGAGGGUUGGGAAUGCAAAGAUUCAUUUUUCUAUAAAAAGAAAAAGCAACUAAGGUUAAAAGCUAUAUUGUGGCCCAAGACACUGUCUGAAAGAUGACAUGAAUAGUAAUUCACCACUAUCCGAACCAAGCAAGGAUCAGUGUGCUGACUGCAUUGGCCAAU
rnacentral:sRNA from 1 species